rnacentral:rRNA from 1 species
UACGUAGGGGGCAAGCGUUGUCCGGAAUCAUUGGGCGUAAAGCGCGUGUAGGCGGCUCGGUAAGUCUGCUCUGAAAGUCCAAGGCUCAACCUUGGGAUGCGGGUGGAUACUGCCGGGCUCGAGUCCGGAAGAGGCGAGUGGAAUUCCUGGUGUAGCGGUGAAAUGCGCAGAUAUCAGGAGGUACACCAAUGGCGAAGGCAGCUCGCUGGGACGUAACUGACGCUGAGACGCGAAAGCGUGGGGAGCAAACAGG